rnacentral:misc_RNA from 1 species
UGUUCGCCUGUCUCUUUGAACCAUGGUGACUCAAUACAGUCUUUCGUAACAGUUUUAAAAAUCAUUAAAAAAAUGCCAGUUCCCAGUCGUUUUUAGUGUUCUAUGGCCUGUGAUGUCUCAUAAUCGUUAGGUCUUUAUACUCGUAAGCAUACACAAUGUACAGUGAAACUAAUAAUUCGGCCAAAAUUUGAAGAGUACCACGUCAAGAAAUGGGUUCCAGGCUAAGAGAUACAGCACGGCUGUUUGAAUUGUUUUGUGAAGUGUCACCCGGAGAUCCUGCAAAGGAACCACGGGAGCCCUAUAUCAUCCGAAAAUAUCCUGAAGCACUCAGAACAGAGGACGAACUAAAAGAUGUUCCUAAAUUCACAUUCCCAUGUGAAUUAGAUAGUACAUUCGUCCAGCACUACUCAUUUGUGAUGACGGCUGUGGAUUCAAAGUAUACUUUUUGUUUCUGCCGAUACGACCCCAGAACAAACACCGCUCUAGUGAUAAUGUCUCAUUUACCAUGGCACGACAUAUUUUAUAAAUUAUUAAAUAGUAUAUCGAACAUAAUAAACAGUUCAGAAAAGGGAGAGCUGACGUCGUUCCUCGAGGCGUGUCGGAUCCGGCCGCCGAUGAGAGACCACACGCUGAAAGUGACGUAUAACGCGGGCCGAAGCGUGUUCUCUUGCCAAAAUCCAGACGGCCGACUUCCGAGCAUACCCGAAAAUUGUAACUUAACAGAGUACUUCAGUGCGGUAGACACCAAAUGCAUGGCAGGGUUAUGGGCAGCGUUGCUACACGAAAGACGAGUCGCCAUAGUAGCAUCCAAGCCCUCCCGGUUAUCAGCGUGUGUCCAGGCGGCCAAUGCAACCUUGUUCCCGAUGUCGUGGCAGCAUAUAUUUAUACCGAUACUGCCGAAACAUUUUGUGGAUUACCUGUUGGCGCCUAUGCCGUUCCUUAUUGGAGUUCCUGCUAGCGUUAUGAAGACUGUAAGGAUGUCGGAUAUAGGAGAUGUAGUAAUAUUAAACGUAGAUGAAAACGAACUGAGAUCUCCUUUCCAAGACUUAGAAAGUCUUCCGCCUGAAUUGGUAUCCAGUUUAAAGAAAGCUUUAAGUGAUAAGAAUGCAUUAGGAGAUGCGGUGUCGCGCGCUUUUUUACGUGCACUGGUUGGUUUAAUAGGAGGAUACCGGGACGCGAUAAGAAUCGAAAAAGGUCAACAAAUAACGUUCAACCCAGAGGCUUUUGUGAGAACUAGAAAAAAUAUGCAACCGUUCCUUAAAAAAAUACUACAAUCACAAAUAUUUCAACAGUUUAUAGACGAGAGGUUAGACUUGCUCAAUUCUGGCAGAGGCUUUAACGACGAAUUCGAAGUUGAAUGUAACGCCUACGCUGACAAACUAGGGACGGGCAGCGGCCAACGACUGAAACAGCAGUACAAAGACUGGGCCAAGACUGUGAAGAAAGAAGGCGGUGCCUUCUUUAAAAAUUUCAAAGAUAAGGCGAACCCCGCAGUACAGUCAGCGGUCAAAACGGUCCGGCAAGGAGGUAAAAACAUGAAGUCAGCGGUUAAAGGUCUGAAGAAUAAAAUACCCAAGACUGGGUCUCGGCCGUCGUCGAUAAAUACUACGGAUGAUAGCAGGUUCUCCUGCGGCUCAGUAACCCCAGUGUCCUCGGAUUCCUCUGACUCGUCGCCGUCGCGCGAGGCGCCGCUGCGCGAGCCGGCGCCGCAGCUCCCGCUCGACCUGCUCACCGAGAUGGAGCACCUCUUUAAGAAAAAGUCGAGGCGGGACAGCCUGCCCAACAGCCCCCACAAUCAGCUGAGUUUAGCCGACAAAUCCAAAACACUGUCACCAAGUGUCCCACCCCGGUUACCGGAUCGUCCCCAACUCCCCCUCCGUUACCCAAUAAUUUCCACGAGGAAGUUGAUAGACCUGUCCGACGCGCCCGAGCCGCCUCCUCGCGCGCAGCACCACGCGAACCACUCGCAUUUCGUCACUAACAUUACCAAAAAUAGUGACGCGAGCGAUUUUCACACGAGCACUAUUCAAUUCACGGAAGGCAAGGAGAAAGGCAAGCUGAAGCUGACCAUGUCGACCACACAGAGGAAGCUGUCGGACAGCUCGCCCGCGCCCGCGCCCCUGCCCGCGCCCAACGGCUACAAGCCGCCGCACGCGCAGGAACCCAAUAGCUUACCGAGGCCUGUGGCCCGCAACCUCCACAUACAGAAUAGAGGAAAAACUCAAGAGAGUCGACCUCCUGACCACUGCCGGUGCCAGGUGGCGCUGUCAGUUACGUAAUGGGCCGCCGCGGUGUUUGCCCAGUGCUGAUUCGACGAAACACUCCCUGGGGCACGAUCGGAUUGAACCUGAAUGA